GGAACUGAAUGGGAAUAACCUCACACGCAUCACCAAGACUGACUUUCUGGACCAAGUACCUCCGCGUGCUGCAGCUGAUGGAGAAUCAGAUUGGAGCGAUAGAGCGUGGAGCGUUUGAUGACAUGAAGGAGCUGGAGAGACUGCGCCUGAACAGAAACCAACUGCAGCACCUUCCAGAACUACUGUUUCAGAAGAACCCUCACUGUCACGUCUG